rnacentral:rRNA from 1 species
CAGUCGCCACGGUAAUACGUAGGUGGCAAGCGUUGUCCGGAAUUAUUGGGCGUAAAGGGCUCGCAGGCGGUUUCUUAAGUCUGAUGUGAAAGCCCCCGGCUCAACCGGGGAGGGUCAUUGGAAACUGGGAAACUUGAGCGCAGAAGAGGAGAGUGGAAUUCCACGUGUAGCGGUGAAAUGCGUAGAGAUGUGGAGGAACACCAGUGGCGAAGGCGACUCUCUGGUCUGUAACUGACGCUGAGGAGCGAAAGCGUGGGGAGCGAACAGGAUUAGAUACCCCCGUAGUCCCUGUCUCUUAUAC